rnacentral:rRNA from 1 species
UACGUAGGGUGCAAGCGUUGUCCGGAAUUAUUGGGCGUAAAGGGCUCGUAGGCGGUCCAUCACGUCGGGAGUGAAAAGCUGGGGCUUAACCCCAGUCCUGCUUCCGAUACGGGUGGACUAGAGGUAGGCAGGGGAGAACGGAAUUCCUGGUGUAGCGGUGAAAUUCGUAGAUAUCAGGAGGAACACCGGUGGCGAAGGCGGCUUUCUGGACGAUAACUGACGCUGAGACGCGAAAGCGUGGGGAGCAAACAGG